rnacentral:rRNA from 1 species
UGAGGAAUAUUGGACAAUGGAUGGAAAUCUGAUCCAGCCAUGCCGCGUGCAGGAAGACGGCCCUAUGGGUUGUAAACUGCUUUUGUAUGGGAGCAAUAAGGACUACGUGUAGUUUGAUGAGAGUACCAUACGAAUAAGCAUCGGCUAACUACGUGCCAGCAGCCGCGGUAAUACGUAGGCAGCAAGCGUUGUUCGGAGUUACUGGGCGUAAAGAGUGCGUAGGCGGUUUUCUAAGUUCGGUGUGAAAUCUCCCGGCUUAACUGGGAGGGUGCGCCGAAGACUGGGAAGCUGGAGUGUGGGAAAGGCAGGCGGAAUUCCUGGUGUAGCGGUGAAAUGCGUAGAUAUCAGGAGGAACACCGGCGGUGUAGACGGCUUGCUAGACCAUAACUGACGCUGAGGCACGAAAGCGUGGGUAGCAAACA